rnacentral:misc_RNA from 1 species
UCUUUUCUUUUGAUAAGAGAGUUUUUAAAACCAGUGUUAUUUAUGUAAGUUUAAGAGAAGUUUAUGUAUUAAAUUAUUGAUAUUAAAUAGUUUUAUUAGGCUUAGACUUAAUUUUAGGUCAUUUUGGGGGUUUAGCUCAGUUGGCUAGAGCAUCGGCUUUGCAAGCCGAGGGUCAAGGGUUCGAGUCCCUUAACCUCCAUUGGGCUUAUGCCCUAAAUUGUAAUUAAGUAUGUUUUUAAGUAACUUUGUUAAAGUAAUUGUUGGAAUGUGAAACACAAGAAGUUAAAAUUUCUGGGUUAAGUUGAGAUCUGUUGAUAUUAAGAAAAAUGUCUAGAAGCAAAAGCAAGCUUUCGAUAAAACCCGAAGUUGUUUCGCUAAAGUGCAAGGAUUAAACAGGAUUGUAUUUUUCAGCAGCCUAUUUUAUAAACGAUCUGCAUUUAGUAAAUAGUUUUUAGUUAGGAAAUAAUGUAGAUUACUAAGUGUGAUGUCUGAGAGAAGGACAAGUAUUGUAGCGAGCUUAAAUCCUUAUUAUCGUUGCCAGUAUUUAGUGGUAGGGAUUCGGAUAAGAUUGCCAGUUAUAAGUUGGAGGAAGGCAAAGAUUGCAUUAAAUCGUUAUCGCUCUUAUGUUUUAGGUUACAAGUUUGCAACAAUAACUCAAAAAAGCCAAGCAAAAUACCAUAAAGCAGAUUUCAGUUUGGAUUUGCCCGACACUCAAUGGCAUGAAGUUGUAAUUGUUAGUAAUCGUGUAUACCUUAAUAUAGAAAUUG